rnacentral:rRNA from 1 species
UCUUAUGAAGUUAGCGGCGGACGGGUGAGUAACACGUGGGUAACCUGCCCAUAAGACUGGGAUAACUCCGGGAAACCGGGGCUAAUACCGGAUAACAUUUUGAACCGCAUGGUUCGAAAUUGAAAGGCGGCUUCGGCUGUCACUUAUGGAUGGACCCGCGUCGCAUUAGCUAGUUGGUGAGGUAACGGCUCACCAAGGCAACGAUGCGUAGCCGACCUGAGAGGGUGAUCGGCCACACUGGGACUGAGACACGGCCCAGACUCCUACGGGAGGCAGCAGUAGGGAAUCUUCCGCAAUGGACGAAAGUCUGACGGAGCAACGCCGCGUGAGUGAUGAAGGCUUUCGGGUCGUAAAACUCUGUUGUUAGGGAAGAACAAGUGCUAGUUGAAUAAGCUGGCACCUUGACGGUACCUAACCAGAAAGCCACGGCUAACUACGUGCCAGCAGCCGCGGUAAUACGUAGGUGGCAAGCGUUAUCCGGAAUUAUUGGGCGUAAAGCGCGCGCAGGUGGUUUCUUAAGUCUGAUGUGAAAGCCCACGGCUCAACCGUGGAGGGUCAUUGGAAACUGGGAGACUUGAGUGCAGAAGAGGAAAGUGGAAUUCCAUGUGUAGCGGUGAAAUGCGUAGAGAUAUGGAGGAACACCAGUGGCGAAGGCGACUUUCUGGUCUGUAACUGACACUGAGGCGCGAAAGCGUGGGGGAGCAAACAGGAUUAGAUACCCUGGUAGUCCACGCCGUAAACGAUGAGUGCUAAGUGUUAGAGGGUUUCCGCCCUU